rnacentral:rRNA from 2 species
UGGGGAAUCUUGGACAAUGGGCGCAAGCCUGAUCCAGCCAUGCCGCGUGAGUGACGAAGGCCUUAGGGUUGUAAAGCUCUUUUGCCGGGGACGAUAAUGACGGUACCCGGAGAAUAAGUCCCGGCUAACUUCGUGCCAGCAGCCGCGGUAAUACGAAGGGGACUAGCGUUGUUCGGAAUUACUGGGCGUAAAGCGCACGUAGGCGGAUUUGUAAGUCAGGGGUGAAAUCCCGGGGCUCAACCUCGGAACUGCCUUUGAUACUGCGAAUCUCGAGUCCGAUAGAGGUGGGUGGAAUUCCUAGUGUAGAGGUGAAAUUCGUAGAUAUUAGGAAGAACACCGGUGGCGAAGGCGGCCCACUGGAUCGGUACUGACGCUGAGGUGCGAAAGCGUGGGGAGCAAACAGG